AUUGAACGCUGGCGGCAUGCUUUAUACAUGCAAGUCGAACGAUAACAGCACUUCGGUGGCUGUCGAGCGGUGAACGGGGGAGGAUUACUUCGGAACGGGCCACCUAGUUGUGGGACACUACUCGCUUGAGUAACCAAUACCGCAUGACAUCUAAUAUUUAGAACCGGAGACUUCCAUGCUUUACGCUACUUUUGCUGUUGAUGGCAGAUUAGGUAGUUGGUGGGAUAAUAGCUUACCAAGUCGACGAUCUGUAGCUGGUCUGAGAGGAGGAGCAGCCACACUGGGACUGAGACACGGCCCAGACUCCUACGGGAGGCAGCAGUGGGGAAUUUUGGACAAUGGGCGCAAGCCUGAUCCAGCAAUGCCGCGUGCAGGAUGAAGGCCUUCGGGUUGUAAACUGCUUUUGUACGGAACGAAAAGCCGUCUUCUAAUACAGGAGGGUCAUGACGGUACCGAAAGAAUAAGCACCGGCUAACUACGUG
rnacentral:rRNA from 1 species